CCGUAUCACAUGUUGUCGAUUUUGUUCACUCGCCCAUAUUCGUUGGCCCGAUCUCGGCAAUACGAGCACGCAGCAUUCAAGGUGAUGCUCAGGAACCACUGACCACUGCCGCAUUAGCGGGAGAAAAAUCUGAACAGCUUCCAUUAAAGGAUAUAACCAAGAAUUUAAAAAAAGUAAGCCCUGCGCAAGCGAAGGAAGAAAUUGAAAAAAGCUCAGACUAUGGCAAAUUAUUGGGAGCCAAUGCAUUAAAAGAAGAAAAAAAUCUAUCGGAUGAAAGUGAGGCAAAAAAAGAAAAGCUUCCGGAGGAUAACAGUAACAAAUUUUCUGAUAUUCCAAAGGGGGGCCUUUCUCAAGCUCCUUUACCAGCUCUGCCUUCUAAACUUAAAAGCGGGUCUUCUGACGACGUAAAUAUAAGCGACGAUCAUAAAGAGGCUACCAAAGGAGCCCUCUCCGAUCCAGAGCCUCAGCCUAAAAUUGCUUAAUUAAUAUUGCAUAGAAAACAUCAUCAAGCAAGAGGAAAGAUAAACCCAAACCGAGUACUCAAUACCUUAACAAACUGUGGAAAAAAUGGUAACUUUUGCUGAGCCACAGUUAAAUUCAUCUAGGCGACCGUACUAACAUCAUAAUAUUCCUAUUUUAUCAUACUAACCUACACAUACUCUUGAAAAAUUAAAGCGGGUAAAAUUACUCGAAAUGCAAAAAAAAAAAAACUUGUCACCGUAAGUUCAUCAUCAUUCAUAACCAUAAAAUAUAACAGAACAAUAAAAAUACAGAACAAAUGUG